rnacentral:sRNA from 1 species
CUAUUUGUCUUUUUAAUAUUUCAUGAAUUUUUAAGUUAUGUAGCUGAUGGUAAUCUUAAUUUUUAAAAUUUAUCAGAAAUUACUUUUUCAACUAUUUCUUUCUUUUUAUAUUAAAGGCAGCUUUAUUGUGCAGAUGCUUGCUGGUGGAAAAGUUCACUGGCCCCAAGGACCAAGGCCAGGGACAUUGCCAUAGGGAAAGGGGAAACACUGACGUUCCCAGAGUGAAGUCUGUGAAUCUAUUCUGGUUCGAUGCUGGAUACCUACAAUAAUAGCAAUAAAAAGGCUGAGGCAGGAGGACUGCAAGCUUGAGGCCAGCCUGAGGUAUAUUGUGAUACUCUGUCUCAACAAAUAAAAUAAAGGAACAGGUAAGAGGCCCACCUGCUCUCAGAAUUUUCCUAAGCCCUCAGUUGGGAUCCCAGGAAAA